GAUGAACGCUGACAGAAUGCUUAACACAUGCAAGUCAUUGGCGAAGCUGCGCUUGCGCAGUCUAGCCAAGGCGGACGGGUGAGUAACGCGUAAGGAACUUGCCCUGCAGACAGGGAUAACAGACGGAAACGACUGAUAACACCUGGUAUUGUCAGGCUGGCGCAUGCCGGCCUGAUGAAAGGAGACGCUGCAGGAGAGCCUUGCGUCCUAUUAGCUAGUUGGUGGGGUAACGGCCCACCAAGGCGAUGAUAGGUAGCCGGCCUGAGAGGGUGAACGGCCACAAGGGGACUGAGAUACGGCCCUUACUCCUACGGGAGGCAGCAGUGGGGAAUAUUGGACAAUGGGGGCAACCCUGAUCCAGCAAUUCUGUGUGAACGAAGAAGGUUUUCGGAGUGUAAAGUGCUUUCAGCAGGGAAGAAGAAAGUGACGGUACCUGCAGAAGAAGCGACGGCUAAAUACGUG
rnacentral:rRNA from 1 species